AACGAACGCUGGCGGCGUGCCUAACACAUGCAAGUCGAACGGAAUUAGAGAGCUUGCUCUUUAAUUUAGUGGCGCACGGGUGAGUAACGCGUAGAUAAUCUGCCUGAUGAUCUGGAAUAACACCUCGAAAGGGGUGCUAAUACCGGAUAAGCCCACGGGGUCUUUGGAUCUUGCGGGAAAAGGGGGGGACCUUCGGGCCUUCUGUCAUCAGAUGAGUCUGCGUACCAUUAGCUAGUUGGUAGGGUAAUGGCCUACCAAGGCUACGAUGGUUAGCUGGUCUGAGAGGAUGACCAGCCACACUGGAACUGAGACACGGUCCAGACUCCUACGGGAGGAAGCAGUGGGGAAUUUUGCGCAAUGGGCGAAAGCCUGACGCAGCAACGCCGCGUGAGUGAUGAAGGCUUUCGGGUCGUAAAGCUCUGUCGAGGGGAAAGAAGUGUAUUGUGGCUAAUAUCCACGAUACUUGACGGUACCCCUAAAGGAAGCACCGGCUAACUCCGUGCCAGCAGCCGCCGUAAUAC
rnacentral:rRNA from 1 species